CCUACGGGUGUCAGCAGUGGGGGAUAUUGCACAAUGGGGGGAACCCUGAUGCAGCGACGCCGCGUGGGUGAAGGAGCGUUUCGGCGCGUAAAGCCCUAUCGGCAGGGAAGAAGGAGGACGGUACCUGACUAAGAAGCCCCGGCUAACUACGUGCCAGCAGCCGCGGUAAUACGUAGGGGGCAAGCGUUAUCCGGAUUUACUGGGUGUAAAGGGGGCGCAGACGGCAGCGCAAGCCAGGAGUGAAAGCCCGGGGCCCAACCCCGGGACUGCUCUUGGAACUGCGCGGCUGGAGUGCAGGAGGGGUAGGCGGAAUUCCUGGUGUAGCGGUGAAAUGCGUAGAUAUCAGGAGGAACACCGAUUGCGAAGGCAGCAUACCGGCGGCGAUCUGACGCUGAGGCACGAAAGCGUGGGUAUCGAACAGGAUUAGAUACCCUUGUAGUC
rnacentral:rRNA from 1 species